rnacentral:rRNA from 1 species
UGUAAGCGUAUACCAAAGUUGUUGCAGUUAAAACGCUCGUAGUCGGAAUUUGGCAGUUCCGGAUGUGUGCACGUCGUGUGCGCACUUCGCGGGGAUUGCUUUUGUGGUCUUGCGUAGGAUGAGGCACUUUUAUUAGUGAACGUCCUCACGCAACCACUUUUUACUGUGAGAAAAUCAGAGUGCUCAAAGCAGGCAUUUGCCGUGAAUGUAUUAGCAUGGAAUAAUAGAAUAGGACUUGGUUCUAUUUUGUUGGUUUGUUGGGACUGAGUAAUGAUUAAGAGGGACAGUUGGGGCAUUUGUAUUUCGGUGCUAGAGGUGAAAUUCUUAGAUUACCGAAAGACAAACUGCUGCGAAAGCGUCUGCCAAGGAUGUUUUCAUUGA